GACGAACGCUGACAGCAUGCUUAACACAUGCAAGUCUACUUGAAAUUCGGCUUCGGUGGCGGACGGUUGAGUAACGCGUCAAACACUUGCCUCACAGAUAGGGAACCUAUUUGGAACUGAAUGCUAAUCCCUGAAAUUAUGAUUUUAGAGCAUCCUAGAAUUAUGAAUGCUAUAUGCACUGUGAGAGAGCUUUUGGUUCCAUUAGCUAGUUGGAGAGGUCACGGCUCACCAUGGCGAUGAUGGGUACCGGGCAUGAGAGGGUGAGCGGCCACAAGGGGACUGAAACGCGGCCCGUACUCGGAAGGGAGGCAGCAGGGGGGAAUAUUGGACAAUGGACCAAGAGUCUGGGCCAGCAAUUCUGUGUGCACGAUGAAGUUUUUCGGAGUGUAGAGGGCUUGCAGUGGGGAAGAAAAAAAUGACGGUACCAACAUAAGAAGUGACGGCUAAAUACGUG
rnacentral:rRNA from 1 species